rnacentral:rRNA from 1 species
AUUGAACGCUGGCGGCAUGCCUUACACAUGCAAGUCGAACGGCAGCACGGGAGCCAUCCUGGUGGCGAGUGGCGAACGGGUGAGUAAAGAAUCGGAACGUACCCAGUCGUGGGGGAUAGCGUAGCGAAAGUUACGCUAAUACCGCAUACGAUUUAUGGAUGAAAGCGGGGGAUCGCCAGACCUCGCGCGCUUGGAGGGGCCGACAUUAGAUUAGGUAGUUGGUGGGGUAAAGGGUCACCAAGCCGAAGAUGUGUAGCUGUGCUGAGAGGACGACCAGCCACACUGGGACUGAGACACGGCACAGACUCCUACGGGAGGCAGCAGUGGGGAAUUUUGGACAAUGGACGCAAGUCUGAUCCAGCCAUUCCGCGUGCAGGAUGAAGGCCCUCGGGUUGUAAACUGCUUUUGUACGGAACGAAAAGGUCUCUCUUAAUACGGGGGACUCAUGACGGUACCGUAAGAAUAAGCACCGGCUAACUACGUGCCAGCCGCCGCAGUAA